rfam:Dipodomys ordii contig_69120, whole genome shotgun sequence.
GGGAAUAUGGCUUAGUGGUAAAGUGCUUGCCUGGUAUGCAUGAAGCCCUGGGUUCAGUUCCUCAGUUCUA